GUAGGUGAACCUGCGGAAGGAUCAUUAAUGAAAUGCAAGGACGCUCUUUUUAGAGGUCCGACCAACUCAUUUACCUUUACACUGUGCACAUACUACUUUUUUACACCAAUUUUUAACGCAUUAGUUUAAGAAUGUAAAAUCAGUCUCGAAAGAGCAUAAAAUAAAUAAAACUUUCAGCAACGGAUCUCUUGGCUCUCGCAUCGAUGAAGAACGCAGCGAAAUGCGAUACGUAAUGUGAAUUGCAGAAUUCAGUGAAUCAUCGAAUCUUUGAACGCACCUUGCACUCUUUGGUAUUCCGAAGAGUAUGUCUGUUUGAGUGUCAUGAAACUCUCAACCCCCUCAUUUUGUAAUGAAAUGUGUAGCGUGGGCUUGGUUUAUGGCUGUCUGUCGGCGUAAAUGCCGGCUCAGCUGAAAUAUACGAGCAACCCAGUUUAAAUACUUGACGGCUUGACUCGGCGUAAUAACUAUUUCGCUGAGGACGUCUAACCUUUAAAUCGUUAGUGGUGCUUCUAAUGCAUUAAUCAUUUUAAGCUUUAGACCUCAAAUCAGUCAGGACUACCCGCUGAACUUAAGCAUAUCAAUAAGC
rnacentral:rRNA from 1 species